UCGUCAAACUUACUGACAACUAGGUCUCAUCGGACCUUGUACGGCUUUUUUGAACCACUGACGUCAUGCAUCCGUACCUUCUCGUUGGUCGAAGAUUUAUUCGAUUUCGGAAAUGUUUCCUCACGUGCUUCUGGUGAAAUAAUCUCAAGGUCUAGGAUGUUGCAAUAGUUUUAGAUUUAAGAUUUUCAUGCAGAUAAUAUUAAAAGUGUCAGAUGAAUCGACCAAAAUACAAAUACAAAUUUGCAUGCUCUCAUCGACCCAUUCAAGAGUGUAUUAAAAAAAGGCGUCGUUAUAUGAAAAAGUAAAACUUGAUAGCACAAAACCAGAACCAAGUUUUUCGCUCUAUCGUUUGCAUUUUAAAAAAUGGACGAAAUUUGCCGAUUUUUCAUGGGUUUACCUUCACACGUAUUGGCGAAACCAUGGCUAGUUUCAAUCGUGGUAACCCAUGAGUCAGAUGACAAAAUUUGACAGCUCUAUCAGUUGAUUUCUAACCGUGAUGGUGGAAACAGUGAAACUACUCCGUUCAAAAGUGUGUCAGUUCAAAGCAGCGUCGAAAACGGACAUUGGCGGCACUUUGUGGACGCCGGAUACGCCCCUUCCGGCAUCUACAACAUCUUGGCACUAUUGGACAGUAAUCAGAGCAUCGAAAGAAAGCCCGGUUCUGUAUGGCCGACGACUCUGAGCGACAAGAAGUUCCAGAGAAUGCUGAAGAGGAAGACAGGAGGAAAAGUGGCUACAUCUCUGCGAGAGGUCGGUGCAACCGGCCAAACAGUGAAGAGGUACCUGGCGAACAUAGACAUACAUACCAGCAAGUGGCAGUCCCGUCCACUGAUCUCGAGGCUGUAGAGAAUGACACAGUGGCAGUGGCUGAAUAAUAUAGCCAAGUCGAUUCGCCCAGCGAAUAGCGACGAGGCGGUAAUCAGGCCUAUCUCACCCUGAAUGGCAACGACUGGCAGUGCACUUCAUAUUUGACUUCCCUUAAGCAAGAAGUGAGCUCCGAGGUGGAGUUUAUUUUACACACCAAGUUCCCCAAGUAGGUGCUGCUGUGGCUGACAGUCAGCGAGAAGGGGAUGUCAAAGCCGCUCUUCUUUCGCUCCGUGAACGGGAAAAUUUGUAGUACGAAAUGCCUACCAAAAAUUGCAUCGUUCAUCAAGAAAUACCAUAAAAAUGGUUUGUUCCCAUUAAAGCAUCGUAUCGUCGCAAAAAAAUUAUUUUCCAGCAAAAUAAUGCCAGUAUUUACACCAGUUCGGCUACAAAAUCAUGGUUUGCUACCCAUAAAAUAACUUACUGGAAUGGCCAAUCCGCAGUUCUGAUCUAAAUCCAGUGUGAAAUUACUGGGAAAUCCUUGUAAGACGCAUCUACGCCCAUAAAAGGCGAAAUUUGUUGAAAGUGUAGAUAAAGAUUAUAGGUAGAUUAUAGGUGUUGACAGACAAGAUGUUUCAAGGGGCAUCCUAGUUUUUUGGUGUCUUCGAUAAAGUCGUUAAGCAUGUAAAACACUAUACUAUAGCGAUAUGUAGUGCAUUGAUAAAGCAUUACUGAGCCCUCUAGAAAAGAGAAUGCAAACAAGUAAGUUUUUCCAUACAAAGUUUCAUAUUAAUUUGUACUGGAGAGUGCUGUCGCUUCUGAGGCCAGAGAACUUAAGUUUUUUGGUUUCAAAAUCGACUGUUUUGUUUGAGAAUAAACGUUAAAUCGUUUGCUGGGAUCUGUCUGCAUUCGUGAGAUUUCUUACAAUUUUGAAACUUUUUCGGUGAAAUAUGAUAACUUCUCAUUAACGGUAAAGCCAGUGGGAAGGGUACAUUCGUCUGUUUUACUUUCAAGCCCAAAUGCCUCGAAAUUACAACUGGUCACAGGAGAGGAAUAUCGCAAUCAGCACAACUGCUAGAAAGCCUAUAUGAACUAGAAAGCCGGUUCUAUGGAAUCAAUAUGUGUGACGUUCAGGAGCUAGCGGUGAAGAACAGCAUCGCUCCCCGUGAAACGUUGUGUUCUCGGAAAGCAAACCCCGGCAUUUUCUUUCGUAAACCUUAACCAACUUUCAUUGCCAGAGCCUUCAACAAGCACACAGUUACCAAAUUUUUUCAUAAGCUUGAAAAUGUUAUGAGCCAGAAAGAGAACUCUAUUACUCUAGAAACUCUAUUACAACAGCAAUCAUUUGUUCCGUGUAUUGAUUUCGAUAAAUAUUUCUUUGAGUAAGAUCAAACCAUCAACAAGAAAACUGGAGAUAGGGGAUCCCAAAAAAUCGGUUUAAAAAUUAUUGAAAAAUAAUGUUAUUUAAAAUAUUUUUCUAGAAUAUUUCAGACUAAAAAGCAAAUGCGGUUCUGAACUGAACCAUAAAAACAACCAUACAAAAAUGAGAAACAAAAAAACAACAAAAAUGUAUGAUAUGAGACGUUACUCGGAUCAGACUGAUUGACACCAGAAAUAAAAACAAAAAAAAAAAACAGUCAGUACAAGAGGCGCAAUUAUGCUGAAUUUGAGGAAGAUAAAUCUGCAGUUAAAAAAUUCGAAUACUGGCAACCAAGGACCCCCAUAACGUUACAGAAAUCCGAGCAAAAACAGUAAUGAACAAUAAAAACAUUAAAUGUAUUCGAGUGAAUUUGCAACACGCGAAGGGAGGAGUCAAGGACAUAUAACAGUAGGGUACAAGGUAUUCCCACAAAACAUUUUAGCUACUUUACGACGACUGUCAGCCCUCGCCGAUAGCUGCAAUCCUAGUAAACGGGAGAAAUAAUUUCUUUCUAAUUACAGAAUUCAUUUCGAGAGACUUGGCAGCGAUCAUAUUGGAGGUGAAUUGGAAGAAUUUCCUCCACUAGAGGUCGCAAGAUUGGUUUCCUAUUAUAAUUGGACGCGAUGCAAACGCUCAUCACACGAUUU